GGGUGCGAUCAUACCAGCACUAAUGCACCGGAUCCCAUCAGAACUCCGCAGUGAAGCGUGCUUGGGCGAGAGUAGUACUAGGAUGGGUGACCUCCCGGGAAGUCCUCGUGUUGCACCCU
rnacentral:rRNA from 1 species